rnacentral:rRNA from 1 species
UCCUGGCUCAGGACGAACGCUGGCGGCGUGCCUAAUACAUGCAAGUCGAGCGGAUGAUGGAGGAGCUUGCUCCUCCUGAUUCAGCGGCGGACGGGUGAGUAACACGUGGGCAACCUGCCCUGUAGAUUGGGAUAACUCCGGGAAACCGGGGCUAAUACCGAAUAACCCACCGGACCUCAUGGUCUGGUGUUGAAAGACGGCAUCUCGCUGUCACUACAGGAUGGGCCCGCGGCGCAUUAGCUAGUUGGUGAGGUAACGGCUCACCAAGGCCACGAUGCGUAGCCGACCUGAGAGGGUGAUCGGCCACACUGGGACUGAGACACGGCCCAGACUCCUACGGGAGGCAGCAGUAGGGAAUCUUCCACAAUGGACGAAAGUCUGAUGGAGCAACGCCGCGUGAGUGAAGAAGGUUCUCGGAUCGUAAAACUCUGUUGUGAGGGAAGAACAAGUACCGGAGUAACUGCCGGUACCUUGACGGUACCUC